AACCACACCAUACAGGCACGCACGCACACACACACACACACGCAAACUGAAGCAUAACUACACUACUACUGGCUAUCUGACCCUAACGCUAAAUUACAUCCACACACAACAUACACACAUUGACCUUGAUUCUUCCAGCCCUGGAAGCCCUGUUUUGGAAGUUGACGCCUCGGUGUUGGGUUUGCAGCUUUCCGGUGAUGUCGCUUCAUAACGUUGCCAUGGCAACAGGAGGAAAAUGGCUGCUCUACUGUGAAACUGACCGCUUGAUGAUUGGAGAAAUAGAUGAUGCCACCAUGGCCUCUUACAUUCCAGCCUGUGGGUGACAGGAUUACCACAAGGCGUAUCUAUAUGGAGACAACCCUCAUGCUAUCUAUAUAAAAAUAAAAU